AUAUUUACCUGGCUGGGAGAGACACUAUGAUCAUGAUCGUGGUUUUCCCAGGGCGAGGCUUAUCCAUUGCACUCUGGGUGUGCUGACCCCUGCAAUUUCCCCAAAUGUGGGAGACUUGACUACAUACUGUGGUUGGGGGGGACUGUAUUCAUGGUCUCCCCUA